AUAUAGGUCAAGCUACAAAGGGCGCAUGGUGAAUGCCUUGGCAUCAGGAGCCGAUGAAGGACGUGAUAAGCUGCGAUAAGCUUCGGGUAGGCGCACAUAGCCUGAGAUCCGAAGAUCUCCGAAUGAGGAAACUCACAUGGGAAACCCCAUGUAUCAUUAAGUGAAUACAUAGCUUAAUGAAGGUAACCCAGGGAACUGAAACAUCUAAGUACCUGGAGGAAGAGAAAGAAAAAUCGAUUUUCUUAGUAGCGGCGAGCGAAAGGGAAAGAGCCCAAACCGGAAACUUGUUUCCGGGGUUGUGGACAUAACAUAAAAGUGGAGGCUAUUGUAACUGAAGAGAACUGGAAAGUUCCACCGUAGAAGGUAAUAGUCCUGUAAGUGAAACGAGAAGACCACGAGUUAUGAUCCAGAGUACCACGAGACACGUGAAACCUUGUGGGAAGCAGGGAGGACCACCUCCCAAGGCUAAAUACUACCUGAUGACCGAUAGUGAAGCAGUACCGUGAGGGAAAGGUGAAAAGAACCCCGGGAGGGGAGUGAAAUAGAAUCUGAAACCGUGUGCCUACAACCGCUCAGAGCCCCUUAUGAGGGUGAUGAGGUGCUUUUUGUAGAACGAGCCAACGAGUUACGGUAUGUAGCAAGGUUAAGUACUUAAGGUACGGAGCCGAAGGGAAACCGAGUCUGAAUAGGGCGACUAGUUGCAUGCCGUAGACCCGAAACCGGGUGACCUAUCCAUGGCCAGGUUGAAGCGAGGGUAAAACCUCGUGGAGGACCGAACCACGUUGCUGUUGAAAAAGCAUGGGAUGAGCUGUGGAUAGCGGAGAAAUUCCAAUCGAACCCGGAGAUAGCUGGUUCUCUCCGAAAUAGCUUUAGGGCUAGCGUCGAGUAUGAGUAGUGGAGGUAGAGCACUGAAUGGGCUAGGGGGCAUAGCGCUUACCGAACCUUAUCAAACUCCGAAUGCCACAUACUUUGAGCUCGGCAGUCAGACUACGAAUGAUAAGAUCCGUGGUCAAAAGGGAAAAAGCCCAGAUCGUCAGCUAAGGUCCCAAAGUGUAAGUUAAGUGGGAAAGGAUGUGAGAUUUCUAAGACAACUAGGAUGUUGGCUUAGAAGCAGCCAUUCAUUAAAAGAGUGCGUAAUAGCUCACUAGUCGAGAGAUCUUGCGCCGAAAAUGUAACGGGGCUAAACUUACCACCGAAGCUACGGGCUUGAACUUAGUUCAAGCGGUAGGAGAGCGUCGUAACCGGGCUGAAGUCGUACCGUAAGGAGCGGUGGACUGGUUACGAGUGAGAAUGUUGGCAUCAGUAGCGAGAUGUGGGUGAGAAUCCCACAGGCCGAAAACCUAAGGUUUCCUCAGGAAGGUUCGUCCGCUGAGGGUUAGUCGGGACCUAAGCCGAGGCCGAAAGGCGUAGGUGAUGGACAACUGGUUGAUAUUCCAGUACCACUACCAUCGUUAUUAUCGAUGGCGUGACGCAGGAGGAUAGUGUGUGCUAGCUAUUGGAUGCUAGUCUAAGCGUUUAGGCAGUGAGAGUAGGCAAAUCCGCUCUUAUAAUGCUGAGGCGUGAUGGGGAAGGUUCUACGGAACCGAAGUACAUGAUUCCACGCUGCCAAGAAAAGCGUCUAGAGAGAGAAGUAGUGCCCGUACCGCAAACCGACACAGGUAGGUGAGGAGAGAAUCCUAAGGCCGGCGGAAGAAUUACAGUUAAGGAACUCGGCAAAUUGACCCCGUAAGUUCGCGAGAAGGGGUGCCUACGAGAGUAGGCCGCAGAGAAUAGGCCCAAGCAACUGUUUAGCAAAAACACAGGUCUCUGCUAAAGCGUAAGCUGAUGUAUAGGGGCUGACGCCUGCCCGGUGCUGGAAGGUUAAGGGGAACACUUAGCGCAAGCGAAGGUGUGAACUUAAGCCCCAGUAAACGGCGGCCGUAACUAUAACGGUCCUAAGGUAGCGAAAUUCCUUGUCAGGUAAGUUCUGACCCGCACGAAUGGCGUAAUGACUUGGGCACUGUCUCAACUGUAAAUCCGGCGAAGUUGUAGUGCGAGUGAAGAUGCUCGCUACCCGCGAUUGGACGGAAAGACCCCGUAGAGCUUUACUGUAGCUUAGCAUUGAGUUUUGGUAUUGUCUGUACAGGAUAGGUGGGAGACUAGGAAACCAGGGCGUCAGCCUUGGUGGAGUCAACCUUGGGAUACCACCCUGACAGUACUGAAAUUCUAACUGGCGGCCAUGAAUCUGGUCACAGGACAUUGUUAGGUGGGCAGUUUGACUGGGGCGGUCGCCUCCUAAAAAGUAACGGAGGCGCCCAAAGGUUCCCUCAGAACGGUCGGAAAUCGUUCGAAGAGUGCAAAGGCAGAAGGGAGCCUGACUGCAACACCCACAAGUGGAGCAGGGACGAAAGUCGGGCUUAGUGAUCCGGUGGUACCUCGUGGGAGGGCCAUCGCUCAACGGAUAAAAGCUACCUCGGGGAUAACAGGCUGAUCUCCCCCAAGAGUCCACAUCGACGGGGAGGUUUGGCACCUCGAUGUCGGCUCGUCGCAUCCUGGGGCUGAAGUAGGUCCCAAGGGUUGGGCUGUUCGCCCAUUAAAGCGGCACGCGAGCUGGGUUCAGAACGUCGUGAGACAGUUCGGUCCCUAUCCGUCGCGGGCGUAGGAAAUUUGAGAGGAGCUGUCCUUAGUACGAGAGGACCGGGAUGGACUGACCUCUGGUGUACCAGUUGUUCCGCCAGGAGCACAGCUGGGUAGCUAAGUCGGGAAUGGAUAAACGCUGAAAGCAUCUAAGCGUGAAGCCAACCUCAAGAUGAGAUUUCCCAUAGCGUAAGCUAGUAAGAUCCCUUGAAGAACACAAGGUUGAUAGGUCGGGGGUGUAAGCGUGGUAACAUGUUCAGCUGACCGAUACUAAUAGAUCGAGGGCUUGACCAAAUA
rnacentral:rRNA from 1 species